rnacentral:rRNA from 1 species
UGGGCAACCUGCCCCCUCUCUCUGGGAUAAGCCUGGGAAACUGGGUCUAAUACCGGAUAUGACUCCUCAUCGCAUGGUGGGGGGUGGAAAGCUUUUUGUGGUUUUGGAUGGACUCGCGGCCUAUCAGCUUGUUGGUGAGGUAAUGGCCCACCAAGGCGACGACGGGUAGCCGGCCUGAGAGGGCGACCGGCCACACUGGGACUGAGAUACCGGCCCAGACUCCGUACGGGAGGCAG